rnacentral:rRNA from 1 species
GAUGAACGCUAGCGGGAGGCCUAACACUUGCAAGCCGAGCGGUAUAGAUCUUUCGGGAUCUUGAGAGCGGCGUACGGGUGCGGAACACGUGUGCAACCUGCCUUUAUCUGGGGGAUAGCCUUUCGAAAGGAAGAUUAAUACCCCAUAAUAUUUAGAAUGGCAUCAUUUUAAAUUGAAAACUCCGGUGGAUAGAGAUGGGCACGCGCAAGAUUAGAUAGUUGGUGAGGUAACGGCUCACCAAGUCUGCGAUCUUUAGGGGGCCUGGGAGGGUGAUCCCCCACACUGGUACUGAGACACGGACCAGACUCCUACGGGAGGCAGCAGUGAGGAAUAUUGGACAAUGGGUGAGAGCCUGAUCCAGCCAUCCCGCGUGAAGGACGACUGCCCUAUGGGUUGUAAACUUCUUUUGUAUAGGGAUAAACCUACUCUCGUGAGAGUAGCUGAAGGUACUAUACGAAUAAGCACCGGCUAACUCCGUGCCAGCAGCCGCCGUAAAAC